ACCUGAGUGGCUCAGUUGGUUAAGUGCCUGACUUUGACUCAGGUCAUGAUCCCAGGGUCCUGGGAUCCAGCCCCACAUCAGGUG
rnacentral:tRNA from 1 species